rnacentral:rRNA from 1 species
UGCGUAGGUGGUUCCGUGUGUCGGGUGUGAAAUCCCAUGGCUCAACUGUGGAAUGCCAUUCGAAACUACGGGACUAGAGUACAGGACGGGAGAGCGGAACUCUUGGUGUAGCGGUGAAAUGCGUUGAUAUCAAGAAGAACACCGGUGGCGAAGGCGGCUCUCUGGAAUGUUACUGACACUCACGCACGAAAGCUGGGGGAGCAAACA